AUGUGGAAGAAGCUGGUUGUAACUCUAAAUGUCUCAGUAAAGACUCUUAAAAGAAAUCAUUGCCUGUGACUGGAUCUUUUCUAUACCUGAACCUGCUCUUGGUGUUGUAUUGGACCACACAUGCACUAUCGCAGCGCGACAGAUCUAGGUACUACAGCACUUCGGAGCUUUAACCCCGCCAGUUCAGGACUGCAGCCAAUCAGGGAUUGUGUUUCAGUUUCAUUGACCUGAGGCAGUGUCUAGAAAACAAAAUGGUGGUUUCCCCCCCUGUUUAUCUGAAAAUCUCAUAAAUUGGGUUGAUUACCGCUUAUGGCGACCCUAUGAAUCAGUGACCUCCAAGAGUAUCUGUCAUGAACCACCCUGUUCAGAUCUUGUAAGUUCAGGUCUGUGGCUUCCUUGAUGGAAUCAAUCCAUCUCUUGUUUGGCCUUCCUCUUUUUCUACUCCCUUCUGGUUUCCCAAGCAUUAUUGUCUUUUCUAGUGAAUCAUGUCUUCUCAUGAUGUGUCCAAAGUAUGAUAACCUCAGUUUCAUCAUUUUAGCUUCUAAUCAUAGUUCUGGUUUAAUUUGUUCUAACACCCAAUUAUUUUGUCUUUUUUGUGGUCCAUGGUAUGCGCAAAGCUCUCCACCAACACCACAUUUCAAAUGAGUUGAUUUUUCUCUUAACCGCUUUUUUCCCUGUCCAGCUUUACAUCCAUACAUAGAGAUCGGGAAUACCAUGGACUGAAUGAUCCUGACUUUAGUGUUCAGUGAUACAUCUUUGCAUUUGAGGACCUUUUCUAGUUCUCUCACAGCUGCCCUCCCUAGU